rnacentral:rRNA from 1 species
UACGGAGGGGGCUAGCGUUGUUCGGAAUUACUGGGCGUAAAGCGCACGUAGGCGGCUUGGUAAGUUAGAGGUGAAAGCCUGGAGCUCAACUCCAGAAUUGCCUUUAAGACUGCCGAGCUAGCAGGUGAGAGAGGUGAGUGGAAUUCCGAGUGUAGAGGUGAAGUUCGUAGAUAUUCGGAAGAACACCAGUGGCGAAGGCGGCUCACUGGCUCAUACUGGACGCUGAGGUGCGAAAGCGUGGGGAGCAAACAGG